rnacentral:rRNA from 1 species
GACGAACGCUGGCGGCGUGCCUAAUACAUGCAAGUAGGACGCUGAAGGAGGAGCUUGCUUCUCUGGAUGAGUUGCGAACGGGUGAGUAACGCGUAGGUAACCUGCCUGGUAGCGGGGGAUAACUAUUGGAAACGAUAGCUAAUACCGCAUAAUAGUAGAUGUUGCAUGACAUUUGCUUAAAAGGUGCAAUUGCAUCACUACCAGAUGGACCUGCGUUGUAUUAGCUAGUUGGUGGGGUAACGGCUCACCAAGGCGACGAUACAUAGCCGACCUGAGAGGGUGAUCGGCCACACUGGGACUGAGACACGGCCCAGACUCCUACGGGAGGCAGCAGUAGGGAAUCUUCGGCAAUGGACGGAAGUCUGACCGAGCAACGCCGCGUGAGUGAAGAAGGUUGUCGGAUCGUAAAGCUCUGUUGUAAGAGAAGAACGAGUGUGAGAGUGGAAAGUUCACACUGUGACGGUAGCUUACCAGAAAGGGACGGCUAACUACGUG